GCAGUGCCAUGGCCGUCUGAGCUAAGCUCAGAGCAUGAAAAAUAAAGGCGCAGAUAUCUGCGCCUUUUUU
rfam:Raoultella planticola strain GCSL-DIFS-295 CFSAN029441_contig0693, whole genome shotgun sequence.